GGGUUGUGAGGUUAAGCGACUAAGCGUACACGGUGGAUGCCCUGGCAGUCAGAGGCGAUGAAGGACGUGCUAAUCUGCGAUAAGCGUCGGUAAGGUGAUAUGAACCGUUAUAACCGGCGAUUUCCGAAUGGGGAAACCCAGUGUGUUUCGACACACUAUCAUUAACUGAAUCCAUAGGUUAAUGAGGCGAACCGGGGGAACUGAAACAUCUAAGUACCCCGAGGAAAAGAAAUCAACCGAGAUUCCCCCAGUAGCGGCGAGCGAACGGGGAGCAGCCCAGAGCCUGAAUCAGUGUGUGUGUUAGUGGAAGCGUCUGGAAAGGCGUGCGAUACAGGGUGACAGCCCCGUACACAAAAAUGCACAUGCUGUGAGCUCGAUGAGUAGGGCGGGACACGUGGUAUCCUGUCUGAAUAUGGGGGGACCAUCCUCCAAGGCUAAAUACUCCUGACUGACCGAUAGUGAACCAGUACCGUGAGGGAAAGGCGAAAAGAACCCCGGCGAGGGGAGUGAAAAAGAACCUGAAACCGUGUACGUACAAGCAGUGGGAGCACGCUUAGGCGUGUGACUGCGUACCUUUUGUAUAAUGGGUCAGCGACUUAUAUUCUGUAGCAAGGUUAACCGAAUAGGGGAGCCGAAGGGAAACCGAGUCUUAACUGGGCGUUAAGUUGCAGGGUAUAGACCCGAAACCCGGUGAUCUAGCCAUGGGCAGGUUGAAGGUUGGGUAACACUAACUGGAGGACCGAACCGACUAAUGUUGAAAAAUUAGCGGAUGACUUGUGGCUGGGGGUGAAAGGCCAAUCAAACCGGGAGAUAGCUGGUUCUCCCCGAAAGCUAUUUAGGUAGCGCCUCGUGAAUUCAUCUCCGGGGGUAGAGCACUGUUUCGGCAAGGGGGUCAUCCCGACUUACCAACCCGAUGCAAACUGCGAAUACCGGAGAAUGUUAUCACGGGAGACACACGGCGGGUGCUAACGUCCGUCGUGAAGAGGGAAACAACCCAGACCGCCAGCUAAGGUCCCAAAGUCAUGGUUAAGUGGGAAACGAUGUGGGAAGGCCCAGACAGCCAGGAUGUUGGCUUAGAAGCAGCCAUCAUUUAAAGAAAGCGUAAUAGCUCACUGGUCGAGUCGGCCUGCGCGGAAGAUGUAACGGGGCUAAACCAUGCACCGAAGCUGCGGCAGCGACGCUGAUGCGUUGUUGGGUAGGGGAGCGUUCUGUAAGCCUGCGAAGGUGUGCUGUGAGGCAUGCUGGAGGUAUCAGAAGUGCGAAUGCUGACAUAAGUAACGAUAAAGCGGGUGAAAAGCCCGCUCGCCGGAAGACCAAGGGUUCCUGUCCAACGUUAAUCGGGGCAGGGUGAGUCGACCCCUAAGGCGAGGCCGAAAGGCGUAGUCGAUGGGAAACAGGUUAAUAUUCCUGUACUUGGUGUUACUGCGAAGGGGGGACGGAGAAGGCUAUGUUGGCCGGGCGACGGUUGUCCCGGUUUAAGCGUGUAGGCUGGUUUUCCAGGCAAAUCCGGAAAAUCAAGGCUGAGGCGUGAUGACGAGGCACUACGGUGCUGAAGCAACAAAUGCCCUGCUUCCAGGAAAAGCCUCUAAGCAUCAGGUAACAUCAAAUCGUACCCCAAACCGACACAGGUGGUCAGGUAGAGAAUACCAAGGCGCUUGAGAGAACUCGGGUGAAGGAACUAGGCAAAAUGGUGCCGUAACUUCGGGAGAAGGCACGCUGAUAUGUAGGUGAAGUCCCUCGCGGAUGGAGCUGAAAUCAGUCGAAGAUACCAGCUGGCUGCAACUGUUUAUUAAAAACACAGCACUGUGCAAACACGAAAGUGGACGUAUACGGUGUGACGCCUGCCCGGUGCCGGAAGGUUAAUUGAUGGGGUCAGCGCAAGCGAAGCUCUUGAUCGAAGCCCCGGUAAACGGCGGCCGUAACUAUAACGGUCCUAAGGUAGCGAAAUUCCUUGUCGGGUAAGUUCCGACCUGCACGAAUGGCGUAAUGAUGGCCAGGCUGUCUCCACCCGAGACUCAGUGAAAUUGAACUCGCUGUGAAGAUGCAGUGUACCCGCGGCAAGACGGAAAGACCCCGUGAACCUUUACUAUAGCUUGACACUGAACAUUGAGCCUUGAUGUGUAGGAUAGGUGGGAGGCUUUGAAGUGUGGACGCCAGUCUGCAUGGAGCCGACCUUGAAAUACCACCCUUUAAUGUUUGAUGUUCUAACGUGGACCCGUGAUCCGGGUUGCGGACAGUGUCUGGUGGGUAGUUUGACUGGGGCGGUCUCCUCCUAAAGAGUAACGGAGGAGCACGAAGGUUGGCUAAUCCUGGUCGGACAUCAGGAGGUUAGUGCAAUGGCAUAAGCCAGCUUGACUGCGAGCGUGACGGCGCGAGCAGGUGCGAAAGCAGGUCAUAGUGAUCCGGUGGUUCUGAAUGGAAGGGCCAUCGCUCAACGGAUAAAAGGUACUCCGGGGAUAACAGGCUGAUACCGCCCAAGAGUUCAUAUCGACGGCGGUGUUUGGCACCUCGAUGUCGGCUCAUCACAUCCUGGGGCUGAAGUAGGUCCCAAGGGUAUGGCUGUUCGCCAUUUAAAGUGGUACGCGAGCUGGGUUUAGAACGUCGUGAGACAGUUCGGUCCCUAUCUGCCGUGGGCGCUGGAGAACUGAGGGGGGCUGCUCCUAGUACGAGAGGACCGGAGUGGACGCAUCACUGGUGUUCGGGUUGUCAUGCCAAUGGCACUGCCCGGUAGCUAAAUGCGGAAGAGAUAAGUGCUGAAAGCAUCUAAGCACGAAACUUGCCCCGAGAUGAGUUCUCCCUGACUCCUUGAGAGUCCUGAAGGAACGUUGAAGACGACGACGUUGAUAGGCCGGGUGUGUAAGCGCAGCGAUGCGUUGAGCUAACCGGUACUAAUGAACCGUGAGGCUUAACCUUACAACGCCGAAGCUGUU
rnacentral:rRNA from 1 species